CGAGAAGCGAACCUGCGAAGGCAAGCGGAUCUCUUAAAGCCGUUCUCAGUUCGGACUGUAGGCUGCAACUCGCCUACACGAAGCUGGAAUCGCUAGUAAUCGCGGAUCAGCACGCCGCGGUGAAUACGUUCCCGGGCCUUGUACACACCGCCCGUCACACCAUGAGAGUCUGUAACACCUAAAGCCGGUGGGAUAACCUUUAUAGGAGUCAGCCGUCUAAGGUAGGACAGAUGAUUAGGGUGAAGUCGUAACAAGGUAAC
rnacentral:rRNA from 1 species